rnacentral:rRNA from 1 species
CCUACGGGAGGCAGCAGUGAGGAAUAUUGGUCAAUGGGCGCGAGCCUGAACCAGCCAAGUAGCGUGAAGGAUGACUGCCCUACGGGUUGUAAGCUUCUUUUAUAAAGGAAUAAAGUGAGGCACGUGUGCCUUUUGGUAUGUAUUUUAUGAAUAAGGAUCGGCUAACUCCGUGCCAGCAGACGCGGUAAGACGGAGGAUCCGAGCGUUAUCCGGAUUUAUUGGGCUUAAAGGGAGCGUAGAUGGGUUGUUAAGUCAGUUGUGAAAGUUUGCGGCUCAACCGUAAAAUUGCAAUUGAUACUGGCAGCCUUGAGUACAGUGGAGGUAGGCGGAAUUCGUGGUGUAGCGGUGAAAUGCUUAGAUAUCACGAAGAACCCCGAUUGCGAAGGCAGCCUACUAAACUGCCACUGACAUUGAUGCUCGAAAGUGUGGGUAUCAAACAGGAUUAGAUACCCUUGUAGUC